GCGCCCAUAGCUCAGUUGGAUAGAGCAACGGCCUUCUAAGCCGUGUGCCGGGGGUUCGAAUCCCUCUGGGCGCA
rfam:Caloramator quimbayensis strain TSBA 833 genome assembly, contig: Ga0105845_110